rnacentral:rRNA from 1 species
GCAUGGUUGUCGUCAGCUCGUGUCGUGAGAUGUUGGGUUAAGUCCCGCAACGAGCGCAACCCCUAUCUUCAGUAGCCAGCGGAUHAGCCGGGCACUCUGGAGAGACUGCCAGGGAUAACCUGGAGGAAGGUGGGGACGACGUCAAAUCAUCAUGCCCCUUAUGAUYUGGGCGACACACGUGCUACAAUGGCGGUUACAAAGUGARGCGAACCCGCGAGGGGGAGCGAACCCCAAAAAGGCCGUCCCAGUUYGGACUGUAGUCUGCAACCCGACUACACSAAGCUGGAAUC